UACCAGCACCCCGAGUGGUCGGGACGAUUAUUGGGCCUAAAGCAUCCGUAGCCGGCCUUACAAGUCCCCCGUUAAAUCCAACUGCUUAACAGAUGGGCUGCGGAGGAUACUAUAAGACUAGGAGGCAGGAGAGGCAAGCGGUACUCAGUGGGUAGGGGUAAAAUCCGUUGAUCCAUUGAAGACCACCCAGUGGCGAAGGCGG
rnacentral:rRNA from 1 species